rnacentral:other from 1 species
AAGGUACUGGAAUGUGCGAAUCAGCUCAUCUUUUUUGACCGACUAAAUCGUAUUGCUUUGGGAUUCGAAGACAUCUUACAGCGUGCAUACCGAACAUCCGGGAGCUAGUCUUAGUAAGAGCGAGAAGCCCACCUUGUCUAUUAGGCGGGUUCAAUACACGAGUUGGUAUACGGCAUUCAAUCAGUACUUUA